AUUGAACGCUGGCGGCAGGCCUAACACAUGCAAGUCGAGCGACCGGCGGACGGGUGAGUAAUGUAUAUGUGCUGCCCGAUAGAGGGGGCUAACUCCUGCCAACGCUAGCUAAUACCCCAUCCUAUCGGAUAACCCAUAGGGGAUUAGCUAGUAGGUGAGGUAAUGGCUCACCGAGGCGACGAUCCCUAGCUGGUCGGAGAGGAUGAUCAGGCACACGGGGACUGAGAGACGGCCCAGACUCCUACGGAGGCAGCAGUGGGGAAUAUUGGACAAUGGGCGCAAGCCUGAUGCAGCCAUGCCGCGUGUAUGAAGAAGGCCCUAGGGUUGUAAAGUACUUUCAGUCGGGAGGCGUUACCGACAGAAGAAGCACCGGCUAACUCCGUGCCAGCCGCCGCGGUAAUAC
rnacentral:rRNA from 1 species